UAGUAAGAUAAUCUGUAGAUCUAUCCAUGGUACUGCAAAUGGCAUUAUUCCAUUCUUUUUAAUGGCUGAGUAGUGUUCCAUUGUUCACAUAUAUCACAUCUUCCUUAUCCAUACAUCUGUCAAUGGAGCAGAGAUGAUUCUUCUAUCUGCUACACCAAUAAAAGCGUAGAAAGUCCAAUUUUCUUCCCUGUUCUCAUAGUGCCCUAUCCUCUGCUCUCCAGCCUGGUGUUUUUCACUCACCAGUUUAUGUGAUUGACAUCAUCUCCUGGAGUAUAUAUAGAUCUGUUUUAUUCUUUUUAUUGUCUGUAGAUUAAUAAUAAUCAGCAAUAUUUCUGGAGCUAGAUGUGUAUUAAUUCAUUUAACAUUCACUAACUUUAGGAUGUAAGUAUCGAUAGAUGAGGAAAUAGAGUUAAAGAAAGGUUACAAACGUGCCCGAAGUUACAAAGACAGUAAAAGCCAAGACUGAAUUCAAACCAGGAUGCCCUGGCUCCUUGGCUUGUGCUCCUGUUUGCUGAGCUCUCUGCAAUAGCUUUCUGCUUCAGGAAGGUACUGUAAGCUAUUUAACUGCCUCCCUAUGGCCAUUGUUUAAAAAUGUUUGCUUCUACAAGCAAAGCUGCAGUGAACAUCUUUGUACGUAUUUCCUUGUGUACUGUGUGGCAACUUAAAAGUAUGGAUAUAAAUGCCCUUCCCAGUCACCCCUACCCUAGACUACCCCUGUGUUGCUCCAGAACCCAGAAGAGGAGAAGAUUUGCCUUGUCACAUGGCUCAAGGAAAUUCAGUUAGUGAAGGGUCCAUUUUCCAAAGUUUUCUUGGAGCUGUGAGAUUUCAACUACAACAAAUAACUCAUAUACAUACUUGUAUCUUGUAUGGUGAAAGUGGUGGGGAGAGAGAAUGUUUUUGGUUUUGCUGAGAUUUUAUUAGUAACAUGGCUGAAAAGAUUGGCUCUCUCAAAUUCUCUGUAAGAUCCUUGCACUUAAGGGAAAUCAAGGAAAGAAAAGUGUUGUGAAUAUUAUUAAUCCUACCUUUAUAUAAGAACCUGGAUGGAGAAGAAAAAUCUUAAGAAGGUAAUUCUGAUCCCCUCUUUAAGUUAUCUUUAAAGUUUGCAGUAAUGAUAAUACUUAGGGCUUCUUUGUUGUUGUUGUUGUUGUUGGCUGCACCCACAGCACGUGGAAGUUCCCGAGCCAGGGACUGAACCUGCGCCGCAGUUGAGGCUUGCCCCACAGCCCUAGCAAUGGCAAAUUUUUAACCCACUGUGCCACAAGGGAACUCCCACCAUGUAGGGCUGUUUUUAAAAAUCCUCUUCAAAAACUGUAUGUAGCCAUAUAUUCAGAACACUUAUAAAGCCUGAACCUAGGGUAGAAAUAACCCGUUUUCACCUAUAGUUUUACCUUUUUACCUAUUGUAUUUUAAUAAAUAACACUCAUUUAAUAUUUAGAAAAUAGUCCGAAAAAAAUUUUAUUAACUUCAACUUACUAUUUCAAAGUCUAAAUUUGAAAUGGGGAGGGCUCAUGAACCCUCAGACUUUCCAGAGACCGGUAGCUUCCUCUGAAUUGCCCCUGCACUUGGUAUUUUAUUUAUUGUAUUGCCUAUUGACAUAUAUUUGACUUUUCACUGUAUUUCAUUUUCUCUAAAGCUGACCUCUCUUCUUCCAGGAACAAGAGACUUUUCCUCUUGAGCCACCGCUAACGCCUUGCUCGUGCACUUUCAGCCUGACUUUCAAUCCAUAGUUUCAUUUUCUAACAUUAUUAAUGCUACUAUUGAAGCACUGAAUCUUCAAAAAAAAAAAAAAUGUUGGUGAGAGUAAGUUUCAUUAGUGAGCAGAGAUAAUAAGUUUCACAGAACGUUCUUCUGCUGGGACAUUUCUCAUCCUGGGGUGAGUUUCACUUGACCCAACCUAGCCCAGCAUCACGUGAGCGUGUCGUCAAAAGGAAGGGGGGGGGGGAAUCAAAGCAUCUGGUCACCCUAAAUGCUAGGAUCAGAGCCUCCUCUUUUAUACCGUCUGUUGGGUCCGGGCUUCUCCGAGGAAAACAGGAAACAACCAGCUGUUCUCAGCCUGCCAAAUCCAAGUAAACAUCCACUCUGUGGAAGAGUGAAUCUGAAGUGGUUCAGUAAAAA